AGGACUUGAAAUAGUGGAGGGAAAUGACUGAGUGAGUGGGUUAACGAGGAGGGGGAGGCCAAGGCUGCAUGGGAUUGCAUUAUUCUCCUCCGCUCAAAAAAAGCUCAGGCAUCUCAAGGCAUUGCGAAAGUCUACCUGAGGUGGGGUGGCCCAAGUUCUUCGGCAGAUCUAACCAGUCGCAGGCUCUUCUUUCUCAUCA
rnacentral:lncRNA from 1 species